AUCAUCGCCAUUUGAUGAACAAUUUUGUGCCUUUUCUGUAGAAUGCAUUACGACAGCAAAGAUUUGUUCGAGAAGUCACAAUACAGUACAAUUUAUGCAAUGAGCCUUGGAUUAAAUACAGUAUAAGCAUAGUUGCCGACAAGGGACUUAAGAAACCUCUUUAUACAUCAGCUCGCCUGAAGAAGGGGGAAGUUCUGUAUCUAGAAACACAUAAAAACAGGUAUGAGCUCUGUUUCAAUGGUGAGAAGAUGAUCAACACAAUGACUACUUAUCAGGCACCUGAUGCAAUGUCAGAAAAGCUCCAUCAAAAUGGUGAAAGAAGCCUUGACCGUGAGACCAUGGUUGUUGAUGUAUUCCGGUGGUCUCGUUGCAAGAAACCCCUUCCUCAGAAAUUCAUGCGUUCAAUUGGGAUUCCUCUAUCCCUUGAACAUUUGGAGGUGAUGGAGGAGAACCUUGAAUGGGAAGAUGUGCAGUGGUCACAAACUGGUGUGUGGAUAGCGGGGAAAGAAUACCUUCUUGCAAGAGUGCAUUUUCUGUCACCAAAUUAAGGGUGGAGUUUUCCUU